rfam:Cicer arietinum chromosome Ca6, whole genome shotgun sequence.
GAAUGGAAUGAUGAAUAUUUGUUUCCCUAUUGGUUUGACUGUCAAAAUGAUGGCAUCAUGUAUUAGCUCUAUCUGACCCACUC